AUUGAACGCUGGCGGCAGGCCUAACACAUGCAAGUCGAGCGAGCGGCGGACGGGUGAGUAAUGUAUGGGGACUCCCCGAUAGGGGGGGAUAACUCCUGGAACCGGUGGCUAUUCCCGCAUACUAUCGGCUAACCCAAAUGGGAUGAGCUAGUAGGUGGGGUAAUGGCUCACCUAGGCGACGAUCCCUAGCUGGUCUGAGAGGAUGAUCAGCCACACUGGGACUGAGACACGGCCCAGACUCCUACGGAGGCAGCAGUGGGGAAUAUUGCACAAUGGGCGCAAGCCUGAUGCAGCCAUGCCGCGUGUAUGAAGAAGGCCCUAGGGUUGUAAAGUACUUUCAGUCGGGAGGCGUUACCGACAGAAGAAGCACCGGCUAACUCCGUGCCAGCAGCCGCGGUAAUUC
rnacentral:rRNA from 1 species